rnacentral:lncRNA from 1 species
AAUUAUUAAAAUGGACAACUGCAAAAUUGCAGGUAGAGAACCUGAAAAUUUAUUCAGAGAUAACCAUCAUUAGGUACAUAAUGCUCUGACAAAAGCAUAAGCGGUGGAGAUAACACAAAACAGAGCAAUACAACUUGGGACUGCGAGCUACACACGGGUCCUUACUACAGACUAGAAUUAGCAAAUUAACUACUAGUCGGCUCUCCUUAUUACAUAGCUCUUGAACUAAAGUAACUGCUGUGCUGCACGAAGAUUAAGUACAGCAUAGCCAUCACAAGAACCAGGUUGGUUCCAGCCAACAGCAGCGCCGUGCAUUGGCUGUCCGUCGAUCAGCAGUGCGGUACAACACCGGCGGGGUUAGCUUGCUGCAUCUGUGGCUGGGCACGCAUGAGCUGAUUGGAUCUCUGCCUGGCUGCCGUCCACCAAAGUGUGUUCUCACCUGGAUCUCUGCUGAAGGGGAGCGGAUGGAUGCACGGCUAGAGGCUGAUGCAGUAAGUACGGCUGGGACAAGCCGUCCCUAGUCAGCUCCGACAGGUACGUAUCCCUGGAUCUCAUGAACUGUCAUAACCCAGCCUGCAUGAUGCGUGCUGAUCUUCAGAAAGGGGAUCCGGAUGCGAAAAUUGAAAUUUGCUGGCAAGGAGGACUUACAUCUUUCCUGACGCAUUUGUAGAAGCGUGCUCCGGCUCGGGAGAUGAAGGUGACCACCUUGUGGCCACAGGUUGGGCAUGGAAUCAGCAGGAGAACCUCCCCUGGCUGCGAAGAAGAAGACGAGGUAGUCAUCGUUCCCGAUCUGGUCCUUGCCGGUGAGGUUGAAGAUCAGGCGUGGGGGACAGCGGGGGAGGAAUGUUCGAGAGGAAGGCCAAUUUGGAGGCACGCCGUUUCUUGUGUAACGUCUGAGCCGUGGC